UGGUUGCAGACAAAGAGAAUCUUGCCAAUUGUAAAUAAAUGAAAAAAUUAGGCAUUACAUAACCUCCUGUUAAGCAAAUAUUGAUUUUUUGAGAUAGAUCAUACUCGAUUGCUAUAAAUGUCUGCUACUUUAAAAGCUACAAAAAAGGUCGACUAUAAUGAAAAAUGCUCGAUUCCGCAAGUAAGCUAUGCGGGUCGUGGAGAACAAUUAGCACAGUAUGCACAUUCUUUUUUUUUUUUUUUUUUUCGAGGGACAGUAUGCACAUUCAAACAUUAGAAAUUUCCACAUUCCACAACAUCAAAACUGGUAAUGUCUGUGGGGGUAACAAGAGUUUGAGAAAAAAGUCCUCACAACUUGUACUUGGGUUUUUUUUUUUUUUUUUUUUUGAAGAAUGUAUUUUGGUUAAUCAAAUUGUACUGAAACAACUUAUAACUUUAAUAGGUAAGAUAUAAACUCCAGUGUCCCUAAUUGAUGAACUG